AACGAACGCUGGCGGCGCGUUUUAAGCAUGCAAGUCGGACGGCAAGUUGGGUAGCAAUACCUGACCUAGAGUGGCGAACGGGUGAGUAAGACGUAGGUGAUCUACCCCUGGAUGGGGGAUAGUCCGUGGAAACACGGGGUAAUACCGCAUGAGGCCUUGUGGGGGAAGCCAUGAGGUGAAAGCUCCAAUUGGAGCGUCAGGGGAUGAGCCUGGGGCCCAUUAGGCAGUUGGCGGGGUAACGGCCCACCAAACCGACGAUGGGUAGCCGGCCUGAGAGGGUGUACGGCCACACUGGAACUGAGACACGGUCCAGACUCCUACGGGAGGCAGCAGCUAAGAAUCUUCCGCAAUGGGGGCAACCCUGACGGAGCGACGCCGCGUGGACGAUGAAGGCCGUAAGGUUGUAAAGUCCUUUUGCAGGAGAAGAAUAAGCGGGGGAGUGGAAAGCCUCCGUGAUGACGUUAUCCUGCGAAUAAGCCCCGGCCAAUUACGUGCCAGCAGCCGCCGUAAUAC
rnacentral:rRNA from 1 species